ACUCCUACGGGAGGCAGCAGUGGGGAAUAUUGCACAAUGGGCGCAAGCCUGAUGCAGCCAUGCCGCGUGUAUGAAGAAGGCCUUCGGGUUGUAAAGUACUUUCAGCAGUGAGGAAGGUGGGUAUGUUAAUAGCAUACUCAUUUGACGUUAGCUGCAGAAGAAGCACCGGCUAACUCCGUGCCAGCAGCCGCGGUAAUACGGAGGGUGCAAGCGUUGUCCGGAAUUAUUGGGUGUAAAGGGUGCGCAGGCGGAAGCCUAAGUCGAGGGUGAAAGACGGCCGCUCAACGGCCGCAGUGCCUUCGAUACUGGGUUUCUUGAGUCCGGAAGAGGUUAGUGAAUUCGUGGUGUAGCGGUGAAAUGCAUAGAGAUCACGAAGAACACCAGUGGCGAAGGCGGCUAACUGGUCCGGAACUGACGCUGAGGCACGAGAGCGUGGGGAGCGAACAGGAUUAGAUACCCUGGUAGGCU
rnacentral:rRNA from 1 species